AAGUCCCGCAACGAGCGCAACCCCUACUGCCAGUUACCAGCAAGUUAAGUUGGGGACUCUGGCGGAACUGCCGGUGACAAACCGGAGGAAGGUGGGGAUGACGUCAAGUCAUCAUGGCCCUUAUGUCCAGGGCUACACACGUGCUACAAUGGGCGGUACAGAGCGGAGCGAAGCCGCGAGGCGCAAGCGAAUCGCUUAAAGCCGCCCGUAGUUCGGAUUGAAGUCUGAAACCCGACUUCAUGAAGUUGGAAUCGCUAGUAAUCGCGCAUCAGCAUGGCGCGGUGAAUACGUUCCCGGGCCUUGUACACACCGCCCGUCACACCAUCCGAGUUGGAGGUACCCGAAGCCGGCAGUCUAACCGCAAGGAGGACGCUGUCGAAGGUACGUUUAGUGAGGAGGGUGAAGUCGUAACAAGGUAGCCGUACUGGAAAGUGCGGCUGGAUCACCUCCUUUCU
rnacentral:rRNA from 1 species